UGAAAAUACCCGGCGCUGUCUGCUUUUAGGGCUGCCGGCUCCUGACUCAGGCCACUGUUGUUAGUCUCCCCUGGCUCCCUCCAAACACCACCUGCCCCUGGGCUUCGGAGCUCACACAAACCACUGUCCCUGCCGCCCUCACCUGCCCAGUGCCUCCGGUGGCCAAGAAUUCCACAUGAAUGGUUUACGAUGUUGGUGAAAUGUUCUCUAUGAUACCACAAAAUGUCUUCUUAAAACCAACCAAAUAAUGUUGAUCAGUAAAUUUCCUUCUUCAAUGAUCUCUGUGGACAGAAGAGUUUGAGGCACAUGAACAAGGAAUGCUCAAGAUUAUUGGGAUCUGGAAGGUACUUUGUGAACACAUGAGGCUGCGCACCUGUACUCUAUGAUGGUGGUUGACAUUGGUGGUGGGAAGAUUUCAACUUUUCUCUAAUUUAAGAAGAUUUAAAUAAAGACUUCCUGGUUGAUAUCUUGGAAUCCUGGCAGCUUCUGAGCAACAGUUUUCCCAAGACUCUGAGGCAGUAGUUACAUCUUUUAAGAAUCCAGUUAGUAAUUUUAUCCUGGAUACAUUUUAUUCUGGAGACAUUUCCAUUUUAAACAGUUUAUGCAAGUAUACACACACAUACACACACGUGUAUAUACGAACACACAUAGGGCCAUGUGUAAAAGACAUUAUCCCUAUAAACUCUUUUCAUCUUAUUCAUAAACUAAGACUGAGUACUAUCGAGGAGCAGAUAGUUGUCUAAAAAUCUAUUAAGGAAGAACUUUGGAUUUAAGGGAAAUAUUAUUCAUUGAACCCUCAGACAUUCUCAAGCUAGAAUUUGCCCUUAAGCAUAAGGAAUGGAGAACUUUAUUACCACCAGUUUUUAUCUUUACUUGUUUUUUUACUCUGUCCUAUGUAAGAAAAACCAAUUGAAUUAAUGUGGUGUUGGUGUUAUUUUCAUGUUCUAGUAAGCUUAAUUUAAAAACAUCACUUAUGUUCCUCUUCUUUUAUACUGUG